UUAAAACCGUUGAGAAAGAAGAGUAGAUUAUCGAAUGACAUCAAAGAGAGCGGCUGAUGGUGGGAUUGCCGUAUGGAGUUGAUGAUUGAAUGGCCUUUCGAGGGCAGCCGGAAACCGUAAGAGAGUAUGGCUUGUCGGGAACCGAACCCGUUAUCAAUCAGGAGUGUAUGUUAGUACAUGAGAAAAGUGGACGAUUCGUCAAUUUGAGUGGUACCGCGAUAAUGUAGUUUAUUACCGCCUCAAAC
rnacentral:ncRNA from 1 species